AUGAAAUGUGAGGUAGUCUAAAAUAAUUCCUGGAAGAACUGCAAGUAACGGUGAACAACAACCAUCAAACCGACGGGUGCAACAGGGGGAUCAGGAAAGUAAAGUCGGCGAUUUGUUGCAGCUAGAAGAUGGUCACACUGAAGAAAGACCACGGUCGCCAGGUGGUAACGCUGGUGUAGCUGAUCACACGGGUGCAGCUGGCAGCGCUGUUGCAGUUGGCUACGGUGGAAGAAUCGACGAAAUUGGCAACGCUAUCGGAGACAAUUUAAAUGCUUGCAUUCAAACUGGAGCGAUGAAUUUGGCCAAGGAAAUUUGAUUAGAAUUUACUGGAGAAAGUGAGCACUUGCUUUGUAUCAGUAAAUUGAAAGGUGUUGCUUUGAAGUGAUUCCAUGCAGACCCUUUGCGCAUCAUUGCUCCGAUUGACUAGAUGCUAAACCAAUUGGUUUUGGCGUUCGGUGGAAGAUUUUUAAAAUCAGAACUACGCCAGAAGUUUGAGGAUCGGGCUUGGAAACCAGAUGAGGUGUUCGCCACAUACUUUAGCGAAAAAAAAAUAUUGGCACAGGACAUUAAUAUUGAUGUAGAGGAGUUAAUGGAGGGUAUUAUUUGAGGCAUACCUUGCUAAAACUUGCGUAUUCAAGCUAGUAUGCAUUGUUUUACCAAUCCGGCUCAAAUCUGGCGUGCGUUUGCAUCUUUAAAAUGGCCAAUCAAACGGACACGAAACACUGUAGUAAAACAAGCUGCACAGGAAACACAAGCGGACAAACAACAACACUGCUACAAUUGCAAUGUCAAGGGCCAUUGGGCUAAAGAUUUCUUAAAGCCUAAACGGCAUCCAGGAUCUUGCUAUGCUUGCGGUUCAAAAGAUCACCUAAUAACAGGAUGUCCAAAUACGAAGUCUGUUGUGGAAAAGAAAUAUCAUGCCUCAUAGACUCUGACAGCCUUAUUUCAUUUUUAAAGCAAAAGUUUGCUCCAUUAGGAACUAAGCGUACACCAGAUGCGAGUUCGUAUGUAGGCUUAAAUAGAAGUAAACCAAGAAAUGUUGGAAAAAUCUUAUGUUAUAUGAAGAAAAAGUUAAUAAUUAAUAGUCUAGGAGGUAUGACGCUGAGCUUGGCAGAGAUUUUAUGGAUGCUUUUGAUUUGAGUAUUGAUUUAAGAACAUUGAAAAUUUUUAAUGUGUGUAAAGUUGAUUAUCAGAAUAAUGUUAACAAGUAAGAGGUUCUAGUCGAGAGCUCCCGACUAGGGGAUACCCUGAACCCUCUUC